ACCAGACCCUUUUUUUUCAGUUUCGGCUUGCCACGACCCCACCUUCACGCCUCCACCACCGCCACCACACGCCGCCACUUGGGAUGGCACUGGUUCCGUUGGAACCACCACACUCCCUACUUUCCAUUCCACCCCACCACCGCCUCGAUCCGCCACCGUGGUCGCUGGAAUCAGCCACGAAAGGUAGCGGUUUGGACAGAUUUUUACCAAACUUUCGACCCUUCGUUCUCUCUCAUUUCUCCACCAAAUUGGACGAGUAAGGUACUCCGACCACGCAUUCGCAGCAGGCGGGACCCUCUCAGGGUCAGGCAGUGUGGGAUUACUUCCAGUAGUCGACUGAGCUCCGCAGCUAGGCCGGAUCGUGUGCUCACGAGCCUUGAGCCAUUGUGGAAACUUUUGAGAAACAAGCAAAUUACAGGGGAGACUGCUGAAUUUUCGGCAAAAGUCUAGCUGAUAGAAAAAUUCGUUUCUAGUUAGAAGGACGAUUUGGUCAUUUCUGCUCGGCAUUUUUCAGGUGUCGGACACGCAUAGGGUUUGGCUCGAAUUCCAAAGUGGUCGGGUCCUGUCAUAUAAUUCUUCCUAGCUUCCAACAAAUUGAAUAGAUAUGGAGAAAGGUUCAUUCAAGUCAGCUUUCUUCAUUGUGCUCUUUCUUGUUUCGUAUGAUGGUGUGCAAUUUGGAGCCGAAGCAAGAGGUCCAAUUGUUCGUUAUCCGUGCCAAACAUCUGCUCUAUGCGGCCCAUGCACAUGCGUCGAGAAUUAUUGUAAGUG